rnacentral:rRNA from 1 species
UACAGAGGUCUCAAGCGUUGUUCGGAUUCAUUGGGCGUAAAGGGUGUGCAGGUGGCGCUGUAAGUCGGGUGUGAAAUUUCGGAGCUUAACUCCGAAACUGCAUUCGAUACUGCGGUGCUUGAGGACUGGAGAGGAGACUGGAAUUCAUGGUGUAGCAGUGAAAUGCGUAGAGAUCAUGAGGAAGACCGAUGGCGAAGGCAGGUCUCUGGGCCACUACUGACGCUGAGAAGCGAAAGCAUGGGGGAGCGAACAGG